rnacentral:rRNA from 1 species
UACGGAGGGUGCAAGCGUUGUCCGGAUUUAUUGGGUUUAAAGGGUGCGUAGGCGGCCUAUUAAGUCAGUGGUGAAAUCCUGCAGCUUAACUGUAGAACAGCCAUUGAUACUGAUGGGCUUGAGUUCAGACGAGGUAGGCGGAAUUUAUGGUGUAGCGGUGAAAUGCAUAGAUACCAUAAAGAACACCGAUUGCGAAGGCAGCUUACUAGACUGAAACUGACGCUGAGGCACGAGAGCGUGGGGAUCAAACAGG